rnacentral:tRNA from 1 species
UUUAAUUAGUAUAAUUAGUACAUUUAAUUUCCAAUUAAAAAGUUUAAUAAAAAUUAGACA